AUAAGUGUAGCUCAAUUGGUAGAGCAUUGGUCUCCAACACCAGAGGUUGUAGGUUCGAUUCCUAUCGCUCCUG
rfam:Dictyocaulus viviparus strain HannoverDv2000 D_viviparus-1.0_Cont2151.1, whole genome shotgun sequence.